UACAGAGGGUGCGAGCGUUGUUCGGAAUCACUGGGCAUAAAGGGCGCGUAGGCGGCUUUUCAAGUCAGGGGUGAAAUCCGGCAGCUCAACUGUCGAAGUGCCCUUGAUACUGAUGAGCUCGAGGGAGGUAGGGGUGUGUGGAACUUCCGGUGGAGCGGUGAAAUGCGUUGAUAUCGGAAGGAACGCCGGUGGCGAAAGCGACGCACUGGACCUCUUCUGACGCUGAGGCGCGAAAGCUAGGGGAGCAAACGGG
rnacentral:rRNA from 1 species